rnacentral:rRNA from 1 species
AAUGAACGCUGGCGGCAGGCCUAACACAUGCAAGUCGAACGAGUGGCGGACGGGUGAGUAAUGUCUGGGAAACUGCCUGAUGGUGGGGGAUAACUACUGGAAACGGUAGCUAAUACCGCACACCAUCAGAUGUGCCCAGAUGGGAUUAGCUAGUUGGUGGGGUAACGGCUCACCAAGGCGACGAUCCCUAGCUGGUCUGAGAGGCUGACCAGCCACACGGGAACGGAGAAACGGUCCAGACGCCUACGGGAGGAAGCAGGGGGGAAUAUUGCACAAUGGGCGCAAGCCGGAUGCAGACAGGCCGCGUGGAUGAAGAAGGCCUGCGGGUUGUAAAGUACUUUCAGCGGGGAGGCGUUACCCGCAGAAGAAGCACCGGCUAACUCCGUGCCAGCAGCCGCGGUAAUAC